GCGGUUCUGAGCAGUUGUGGCCGGUGAUUCCCAAGCUCAGAGCGCGGGUUCGAUUCCCGUCACCCGCUCCA
rnacentral:tRNA from 1 species